GCCCCCAUCGUCUAGCGGCCCAGGACCCCGCCCUUUCAAGGCGGUAGCACGGGUUCGAAUCCCGUUGGGGGCA
rnacentral:tRNA from 1 species